rnacentral:rRNA from 1 species
AGUGAACGCUGGCGGUAGGCCUAACACAUGCAAGUCGAGCGGCAGCACAGUAAGAGCUUGCUCUUACAGGUGGCGAGUGGCGGACGGGUGAGAAAUACAUCGGAAUCUACUUUUUCGUGGGGGAUAACGUAGGGAAACUUACGCUAAUACCGCAUACGACCUACGGGUGAAAGCAGGGGAUCUUCGGACCUUGCGCGAUUGAAUGAGCCGAUGUCGGAUUAGCUAGUUGGCGGGGUAAAGGCCCACCAAGGCGACGAUCCGUAGCUGGUCUGAGAGGAUGAUCAGCCACACUGGAACUGAGACACGGUCCAGACUCCUACGGGAGGCAGCAGUGGGGAAUAUUGGACAAUGGGCGCAAGCCUGAUCCAGCCAUACCGCGUGUGUGAAGAAGGCCUUCGGGUUGUAAAGCCCUUUUGUUGGGAAAGAAAAGCAGCAGGUUAAUACCCCGCUGUUCUGACGUUACCCAAAGAAUAAGCACCGGCUAACUUCGUG